UACGAAGGGGCUAGCGUUGCUCGGAAUCACUGGGCGUAAAGCGCACGUAGGCGGCUUCUUAAGUCAGGGGUGAAAUCCUGGAGCUCAACUCCAGAACUGCCUUUGAUACUGAGGAGCUUGAGUCCGGGAGAGGUGAGUGGAACUGCGAGUGUAGAGGUGAAAUUCGUAGAUAUUCGCAAGAACACCAGUGGCGAAGGCGGCUCACUGGCCCGGCACUAGA
rnacentral:rRNA from 1 species